GGAAUUAGCAGGGGCGAACGGAGCUGUACGUAUUGGUGCGCGAGAGGUGAAAUUCUUAGACCGCACCAAGACGAACCUAAGCGAAGGCAUUCAGCUAGUGGACCUUCAUUAAUCAAGAACGAGAGUGCAGGGAUCGAAGAUGAUCAGAUACCGUCGUAGUCUGCUACUGUAAACUAUGCAAACUCGGGAUCGGCUACCGCAUAUCUUUCAUGAUCACAAAGCCGGAACCUCGACUUCCUCCUGUUAGCGAAAGCAUUAAGUUUAUGUGUUCAGGGGGGAGUACAGUUGCAAGGCUGAAACUUAAAGGAAUUGACGGAAUGACACCACAAGGCGUGGAUGCUGCGGCUUAAUUUGACCCAACGCGAGGAAAUUUACCAGGUCAGGACGCAAGUUGGAUUGACAGAUUGAAAGCUCUUUCUUGAUUUUGUGUAUGGUGGUGCAUGGCCGCUCCUGGUUCGUGGAGUGAUUUGUCUGGUUGAUUCCGGUAACGAACGAGAUCUUGACCGUUCAAUGACAGAUUGAUCGUUACAUGUAGUUUGACUCUCAUGCGCUUGCGUAUCGUGACGUUGGAUGAGAUCUAUCCUUGUACUCAACGGGACUACGUGUGUUGACAACACGUGGAAGUGCAAGCCAAUAGCAGGUCUGUGAUGCUCCUAGAUGUCCUGGGCUGCACGCGGCAUACAAUGAUGGAAGAAACGAGUUUGGUUUGUUUGAGCUCCUGGCACGAAAGUGCUGGGGAAUCUGAGCAAUCUUCGUCGUAUAGUGGGGAUCGUUGAUUGCAACUAUUUGCCUUUAACCAGGAAUGCCUUGUAGACUCAGUUCAUCAAGCUGAAUCGAAUACGUCCCUGCCGUUUGUACACACCGCCCGUCGUUGCAAUCGAUCGGUUCAAUGCUAGAGGUAUUCUGGAGAUGACUGCUUCCGCAUGCUGUCGAAGUUGAUCAAUAGUAUUGAACUAGAGAAUGCAAAAGUCGUAACAAGGUAGCUGUAGGUGAACCUGCAGCUGGAUCAUU
rnacentral:rRNA from 1 species